GCCAGGCGUGCUGGUGCAUGCCUGUAGUCCCAGCUACUCAGGAGGCUGAGGCAGGAGAAUCACUUGAACCCGGGAGGCGGAGGUUGCAGUGAGCUGAGACUACGCCACUGCACUCCCCCCUGGGUGACAAAGUGAGACUCUGUCUCAA
rnacentral:SRP_RNA from 1 species